rnacentral:tRNA from 1 species
CAGAAAAUAAUAUAUUAAGUAUAUAAAUUUUGGGGAUUUAAAGAGAGAUUUAUCUUUUCUGA